rnacentral:rRNA from 1 species
UACGUAGGGCCCGAGCGUUAUCCGGUAUUAUUGGGCGUAAAGCGUACGUAGGCGGUUUGGUAAGACAAUGGUUAAAGCUCCGAGCCUAACUCGGAAAUCGCCGUUGUGACUGCCAGACUAGUCGGUAGCAGGGGCAAGCGGAAUUCUCGGUGUAGGAGUGAAAUCCGUUGAGAUCGAGAAGAACACCAAUGGCGAAGGCAGCUUGCUAGGCUAUCUGAGACGCUGAGGUACGAAAGCGUGGGGAGCGAACAGG